UCUUGACCAGAGUGGCCACCCAAGCACGCAGGAGCAGCUCGGGAUCUAAUAAGACCCCUAGCUGUAAACCUGUGUGACAAAUGGCUGCCACAAUCCUUAGGCAGGGUGUGGAUAUCAUUCCCAUUGUCUUGUCAGGCUGCUUUCCCCACCAGGGCCUCCUUUUUGUUUGCAGUGAGCCUUAGCCACCUUUCCCUCUUCCAAAUUCCAAUCACAUAUAGGCCCUGUACCAUUCAUUCCACUACACCAGCUGGGUCAGAGACUCAGAUACCAGCAGAGGUUAGUGUUUUCAGCUACCUCCGGGGUGCAGGUUAGAAGCCAGGCUCACGGCAAAAUGGAAAAAACUUAGCCAGGGACACUGGGGUGAACCCCUAACCUUAUGAAAAGUGUUUGGUGGGGUCUUGAAUAUCUAUGCAGAACAGACAGGAAUUCAGGCUUUCAGGUUUUAUCUGAAAGUACUUGGCAUUCCAUGCAUCUACUGCAGAAAGAUGAAGGAUGGGGGAAAACCCUGUUAGGAUGCACAAAUGUAGUUCCAGGGAGUCUCAUAUUGUUUAGCACUUAGCCCUUUUCAUCUAUAGUUUGAAAAGCACUUAAAAGAUGGUUCCUAAGUAUCAUCUUCCGCCAUGUAGAUUAGAUUUCACAGAGAGAGAAACUGAAGUGCAGUGACUUGCCCAAGGUCUCAUGAUCUGUCAGUAGCAGAGGCAGGCGUAGAACUCAGGAUUCCUGACUCCUUGUCCACCAGUGUCUUAUGCACUGGACCAUUAAACAUCCAGCAUUGAUGCUGCCAAACUUAAUGUAGUUUCUAGGAUGAAACGCUGAAUUCCAUUUCCAGACCCGGUCUCUGGGGUUGUCAUUACAAAGCCAGUGUGUUACAUCUCCAAUGUCACAGGCCGCCCCGGGGGAUGCAGCCUGGAUAAAAAUGAGUAUAAUCCCUAGAAGCGGUGUGUGUUUAUUUUUAAAAAAGCCCAUAGCUUGGCACACUCUCAAUGCAAACAUUGUUUGAUAGGAGUUUCUGUGACUUUUCAAGGGUAUGGCUGCAUUGCAGUGUAAGCCCAGGAUUCGAACCCAGGCUCAAGCCUCAUUCCCCUUCCAUCUGCACACAAAUUUUGCUCAUCCCGGGGAAUGGGGUGGGGUGGGGCAAGCCUGAGUCAAGCCGGGACCAAGAGUUCAAGCCCUAUUGCUUUGCAAUGUAGAUACAGCCCCACUGGACUUGUGCUCUGGUAGUCCACCAAAAGUAUCCCACAAUCACAUGGGCUGACUUUCUUUAUCCUCUGGAUAGUCAAGUUUUCCCACACUGCAUCAUGAACAAAGGGCUAGAGUGGCCACAUAUUGGCUGGGUGCUAGGAAGUCUGGGAUGUAGGUGGUAGGACUCAGUCCUGCAUAAUACAGUGUAGGCAUUGGAACCCCAGGUUGGGACCCAGGGUUCAGCAAUUUCUAACCUGGGGUUACAAAUGAGUGCAGGUGCUCAAGCCGUAGGUAACAAAGCCAGGGUCUGCUCACUUGAGUACUACUAACUCUGCGCUUACAUGGCAGGGAAGACCUUCCCUCGGUUACAUUGUCUUCACAGCUCACGGUUUCACGGGACCUUGGUGCAAACUAAAUUGAUCAGCAGGAGGAAAAUAGCCGUUGCCUAGACAACGGGCAGAUGACUCAUCCUGGGCAGCAAGCAGCAAAAGCUGUGAGGCUGCAGUAAUUUUCCAGAUGCUUAAUCCAGCUCUUCAGUCUUUCUUUCUUUUUCUCACUCUGAAAGGCAGAAAUCCUCCUCUCACUUUUUCUCUCUCUCUUCAUUUGCAACCCUACGUACGCUGCAGCCCUACGUGAUGCAGAGAACAGUUUUCCAUAGUGCUUACCCCGGCUGGCGUCACAGGGACAGCUUGGAAUAAUGCUGAUGAGCCACUUGAUGGAGUGAAACGGAGCCUCCAAAGAGAGUAAAAAUAGAACUAGAAACUGCAGGCUGCAAAAGCCAAACCCAGCCCCCAAACUCACCACUGGCAUCACAUUUCUUAUAAUAACCCUGGACUGGCUUCUCUAUGUUAUGACUAUGUCACCUCAUUCCUUCGUAGCAAUCAUCAGGGCUGUGAAACCUUCGAAUGUAAUCUGUAUUCAGCACAGGCACGUAACUAGGGCAAGGUGAUCUAUAUUCAACAAAUGCUCUUCAACAAGGUGAUAGUCCUCUGCAAGGACUAAAGUUAAAAGACAGGAUGUUCAAUAAGGAGGAUCUUCCAGCAGCAAAGUGCAAUUUAUUGGUGCCACAUAGCUCCAAGGACAGAGUAAAAGGAGAGGAUCCAAAGGUCACUUUUAACUCUGGCCUCCUUAGCAACGACACUGUGGUAUCUGAAAGAGGGACGGGGAGGAGCCUUCUAAUGAAUAUCUGAGACAUGACACAGAGCAUUCAAAGUCCUCACCCGCAGCUGAUUGUGGACAUGGAAAAUUGCGGCAAACCUCUACUAUGUGUGGCUGGUGAUGCCUAUUAUUUUGUGAGCAAGGAGCGCUUACUGGUUGAUUAGACUGUAGUUCUCAGUGUUAACAAGGACUGAUAAUUAGAAUUCUGACUUAACUGAGCCAGAAGUUUUACACGGCAGAAACAAUCGCAGUGAUGAGGUAUGAUGCGAGGCCUGGCCAGGAAGCUAUUUCUGGCGGCUAUGCUAUUUCUGCUGACCAAGGCUUAAUAAAAGUAUCGGAUUUUUUAAAAAAUGACUAGAAUACGUAGCUAAAAUAGAACAACUACAGUGAGUACCUUGGCCUGGCCAGUUCAAACCUGGAUAAGAUUCCCAUAUUGGUCUUCCCGACAAAGUACACAGUGGAGGCAGACAGCCACUGGAAAGUGGCAGGAAUGAUUUCCAUGCCUAGAACGCUAUUUCUACAAUUUCCAGAGUAUUUCUGGAAAGUCUGCCUUUCUAUAUACUGGAAACAGUGAUGUUUGAUACUGGGCUGCAGGUUGUUACACUGCCAUUUGCCAUGAAGUCCAGUAUUAUGCCUGCAGUAAUGGAAAAGUCAGUAUGGAUAUUGGCCUAAAGGUGCACCUACACUGGGAAAAAUGACUUCUUGUUGCCAUUUGGUAUUAGCAAUUGGUCCUCUCAGGAGCAUCCUCAACUGAAUGCAAAAAUUGUCUAUAGCUGUGAACAGAUCCAAACUGUUUUCAACAGCCAUUGCGGAAGUUAAGGGGUGUCACAUACCUUUUGUGAUUGCUGCUAAAUGUGUGCCUGAAAAUGCAGUUUUACUGUAAUAAUGGCAUAAUGAUUUGUGUUUAUUGCUCCUCAACUUCUCUAUCAAAUGUGCUCCUUUUAUAAGUGAAAAGGUGUUUUUUUCUAAUUGCCAUCCCUGCAAACUCAAUCUGGGAUCUAAGGGCUAUUCACAAGUGGGAUUUAGACACCUAACUGCCCCUUUAGGUACCUGUGACACUCUGUAUCCCAAAGUAGCACCUUGGAACCUCCAUAUUCACCACUGUCAUAUGGUUAUGAUAUAUUUUGUACAACGUAUACCUUGUGAGGUAUCAUUUUAAAAGUUGUGAUUGGUUGAGCUUUAAUAUCCUGUUGGAUCGUAUGUGCUAUAAUUGUAUGCAAAGUUAUGAAGUUUUGCUAUGUGUGUGUUACUGUCAUAUCUUGUGAGUUUGGGAGACACCCACAGCCAACCUUUCAGCUACAACAAAGGAGUAGCCAUCACUGCCCUGGCAGGCGUUAAUGGCUCCUCAACACCCAUCCACUAUCGGACUAACACGUCACAGCAAGGAUCUUUCUGGCAGCUGGAAGAAAGUAUAAAAGAGGGAGAGUGACAUCAUCACUUGGUCUCCCACUCAACCCCUGAAAGAACAUCUAGAAGACAAAGACUUUGAACUGGGGAAGUUUAGUCCCAGGCACGUAGGGAGUCCAGUCUGUGUACUGAGGAACUUUUUGUGCCAUCCGUUCUUGUGAGACACUGCUUGAUUCAAAUCUUGCUUAGUCUGUUUAAGUUAGAAUUUAGACUGCAAAUUUAUUUUUAAUUUCUUGGGUAACAAACUUUGAUCUCUAUGCUUGCUACUUAUAAUCACUUAA